rnacentral:rRNA from 1 species
GAUUUCUGGCUUGAAACAUUAAGCCGGCCACGGUUUCGUGUGUUAGUGUUUGAUGUUCUGGCCAUCCUUCCAAUUGCUAUUCAUCUUUCUUCAUUGAUGGGUGAGUGGUGUUGGAUCUUUUACUUUGAAAAAAUUAGAGUGUUUCAAGCAGGCUUUAUGCUAUGAAUACAUUAGCAUGGAAUAAUAAUUUAGGACUUUGCUCCUAUUUUAUUGGUUUCUAGGGGUAAAGUAAUGAUUGAUAGGGAUAGUUGGGGGUGCUAGUAUUCAUCGGCCAGAGGUGAAAUUCUUGGAUUCGAUGAAGACUAACUUAUGCGAAAGCAUU